rnacentral:rRNA from 1 species
CGCGGCCUAUCAGCUUGUUGGUGGGGUAAUGGCCUACCAAGGCGACGACGGGUAGCCGGCCUGAGAGGGCGACCGGCCACACUGGGACUGAGACACGGCCCAGACUCCUGCGGGAGGCAGCAGUGGGGAAUAUUGCACAAUGGGCGAAAGCCUGAUGCAGCGACGCCGCGUGAGGGAUGACGGCCUUCGGGUUGUAAACCUCUUUCAGCAGGGACGAAGCGUAAGUGACGGUACCUGCAGAAGAAGCGCCGGCCGACUACGUGCCAGCAGCCGCGGUAAGACGUAGGGCGCGAGCGUUGUCCGGAUUUAUUGGGCGUAAAGAGCUCGUAGGCGGCUUGUCGCGUCGACUGUGAAAACCCGCAGCUCAACUGCGGGCCUGCAGUCGAUACGGGCAGGCUAGAGUUCGGUAGGGGAGACUGGAAUUCCUGGUGUAGCGGUGGAAUGCGCAGAUAUCAGGAGGAACACCGGUGGCGAAGGCGGGUCUCUGGGCCGAUACUGACGCUGAGGAGCGAAAGCGUGGGGAGCGAACAGGAUUAGAUACCCUGGUAGUCCACGCUGUAAACGUUGGGCGCUAGGUGUGGGGGACCUCUCCGGUUCUCUGUGCCGCAGCUAACGCAUUAAGCGCCCCGCCUGGGGAGUACGG